rnacentral:rRNA from 1 species
GAUGAACGCUGGCGGCGUGCCUAAUACAUGCAAGUCGAGCGAACGGACGAGAAGCUUGCUUUUCUGAUGUUAGCGGCGGACGGGUGAGUAACACGUGGAUAACCUACCUAUAAGACUGGGAUAACUUCGGGAAACCGGAGCUAAUACCGGAUAAUAUUUUGAACCGCAUGGUUCAAAAGUGAAAGACGGUCUUGCUGUCACUUAUAGAUGAAUCCGCGCUGCAUUAGCUAGUUGGUAAGGUAACGGCUUACCAAGGCAACGAUGCAUAGCCGACCUGAGAGGGUGAUCGGCCACCCUGGAACUGAGACACGGUCCAGACUCCUACGGGAGGCAGCAGUAGGGAAUCUUCCGCAAUGGGCGAAAGCCUGACGGAGCAACGCCGCGUGAGUGAUGAAGGUCUUCGGAUCGUAAAACUCUGUUAUUAGGGAAGAACAUAUGUGUAAGUAACUGUGCACAUCUUGACGGUACCUAAUCAGAAAGCCACGGCUAACUACGUG